AGCGAACGCUGGCGGCAUGCUUAACACAUGCAAGUCGCACGGGCAGUAGCAAUACUGUCAGUGGCGGACGGGUGAGUAACGCGUAGGAAUCUAUCCUUGAAUGGGGGACAACCGUGGGAAACUACGGCUAAUACCGCAUGAUGCCUGAGGGCCAAAGACGAAAGUCGUUUGAGGAGGAGCCUGCGUCUGAUUAGGUAGUUGGUGGGGUAAAGGCCUACCCAAGCCUACGAUCAGUAGCUGGUCUGAGAGGAUGAUCAGCCACAUUGGGACUGAGACACGGCCCAAACUCCUACGGGAGGCAGCAGUGGGGAAUAUUGGACAAUGGGCGCAAGCCUGAUCCAGCAAUGCCGCGUGGGUGAAGAAGGUCUUCGGAUUGUAAAGCCCUUUUGGCGGGGACGAUGAUGACGGUACCCGCAGAAUAAGCUCCGGCUAACUUCGUG
rnacentral:rRNA from 1 species